CUCAUACUGAGACAUUACAGUCUUUCUGAACUUUCUUUCAAUAACACUCAGUGCUCUCUAUUUCUAUGCUAUUUUGUUUCUUGUCUACAAACUCUCUCACUCAAUCGGCCAAAAGCCAAGAUUGAGUAAUCUUGUCUGUUUGCUUCUGCACUACUAAGGCUCUACUGCAUUAUUUGCUUGGGUUUAUCUGCUGCUCUCUUUGCUGCACACUGCCAUUCUCUCUUUGCUGCACACUGCUGCUCUCAUUCUCUGCAUACUUUGCUCCCUUUGUGCACUACUACUUAUUGUUAUUGUGUUCUCCUGUCUGCAACUGGUAUGUUACCUAUUUAAUAUACAGUUUCCCAAAACAAUAUGCUUUUACUAGUUUUGCAUUUCUUCUUGUUUCUUGUGUGCUUUUAUCUAUGGUUCUGUUGUUCUUGUUGUCAUUGGUGUACACUUACCAGCCUAUUUAGCUUAGACUAGCAUGCUCCCUUUACCCCUUCCUUUUCUCAAUGAAUGUUUACUUUUCUUUGUGCACUAUUACCAUGUGUCCAGGGAUACUAGGCUACUUGAUAUCUCUUCUAGAGGUAAAAUGUAUUGGGGUUUUGUGCAGUAAGAACUGAACCCCUAUUUGUUCUACAACUAGGUCUGAUUACAUGCCUUCAUUAAGUUUGCCUGUGUGUGAGUAUAUCCUAGUACUUUAUCUGUUCCCUCCCCCUUUGCCCCCUGGUUGUAUAAUGCUCUGUUCUAAACUGGUUAGUACAAAUGAUUUAAAAAGAAUUCCUUUCAAUUCUUUUAACUCUUUUAAAUUAUUUUCUCAAACCAUCUCCCAAAUCCUUAUGCCGUUUUCUUAAAUUGAUUCUCAACUGUUUUUCUAAGCUCUCUCAAUCCUAUCACAAUCUCACUACUCUUAAGAACCCUAGGUCAUGCCUCAUUGGUGUAAGCACUGCAAUAGGAGUCCUGAGCACCCAUGGAACUCUGAUGCCCAAGGAUGGCUUUUAAUAUUUGAAACUGCCCAUUUAGGACAUCUUUUGGUGCCUUGUAUUGGCCAGGGGUUCAAACGAACCCUUAGGGAGCUUUGCCGCAACCAAACCUUGGUACUGGAUGUGAAAUUCGAAAGAAGUGAGGUUGGAGAUCUUGGGCCUGGCUGUAGGCUCCCUAUAGAAUAACUUUUUUUUUAUCACUG
rnacentral:lncRNA from 1 species